GGCUAAACCAUGCACCGAAGCUGCGGCAGCGAACGUAUCACUUAAAGCGAUUCAGCGGGUUACGAUUGACGGAGCGAAGCGACGUCAAAGCGUAUACAAAGUCGAGUCGGUUUAAGGAUACGUUCGUUGGGUAGGGGAGCGUUCUGUAAGCCUGUGAAGGUGUGUCGUGAGGCAUGCUGGAGGUAUCAGAAGUGCGAAUGCUGACAUAAGUAACGAUAAAGCGGGUGAAAAGCCCGCUCGCCGGAAGACCAAGGGUUCCUGUCCAACGUUAAUCGGGGCAGGGUGAGUCGACCCCUAAGGCGAGGCCGAAAGGCGUAGUCGAUGGGAAACGGGUUAAUAUUCCCGUACUUGGUGUUACUGCGAAGGGGGGACGGAGAAGGCUAUGUUGGCCGGGCGACGGUUGUCCCGGUUUAAGCGUGUAGGUGUGUGUUCCAGGUAAAUCCGGUUCACUUUAACACUGAGGCGUGACGACGAGGCACUACGGUGCUGAAGCAACAAAUGCCCUGCUUCCAGGAAAAGCCUCUAAGCAUCAGGUAACAUCAAAUCGUACCCCAAACCGACACAGGUGGUCAGGUAGAGAAUACCAAGGCGCUUGAGAGAACUCGGGUGAAGGAACUAGGCAAAAUGGUGCCGUAACUUCGGGAGAAGGCACGCUGACACGUAGGUGAAGUGAUUUACUCAUGGAGCUGAAGUCAGUCGAAGAUACCAGCUGGCUGCAACUGUUUAUUAAAAACACAGCACUGUGCAAACACGAAAGUGGACGUAUACGGUGUGACGCCUGCCCGGUGCCGGAAGGUUAAUUGAUGGGGUCAGCGCAAGCGAAGCUCCUGAUCGAAGCCCCGGUAAACGGCGGCCGUAACUAUAACGGUCCUAAGGUAGCGAAAUUCCUUGUCGGGUAAGUUCCGACCUGCACGAAUGGCGUAAUGAUGGCCAGGCUGUCUCCACCCGAGACUCAGUGAAAUUGAACUCGCUGUGAAGAUGCAGUGUACCCGCGGCAAGACGGAAAGACCCCGUGAACCUUUACUAUAGCUUGACACUGAACAUUGAGCCUUGAUGUGUAGGAUAGGUGGGAGGCUUUGAAGUGUGGACGCCAGUCUGCAUGGAGCCGACCUUGAAAUACCACCCUUUAAUGUUUGAUGUUCUAACGUGGACCCGUGAUCCGGGUUGCGGACAGUGUCUGGUGGGUAGUUUGACUGGGGCGGUCUCCUCCUAAAGAGUAACGGAGGAGCACGAAGGUUGGCUAAUCCUGGUCGGACAUCAGGAGGUUAGUGCAAUGGCAUAAGCCAGCUUGACUGCGAGCGUGACGGCGCGAGCAGGUGCGAAAGCAGGUCAUAGUGAUCCGGUGGUUCUGAAUGGAAGGGCCAUCGCUCAACGGAUAAAAGGUACUCCGGGGAUAACAGGCUGAUACCGCCCAAGAGUUCAUAUCGACGGCGGUGUUUGGCACCUCGAUGUCGGCUCAUCACAUCCUGGGGCUGAAGUAGGUCCCAAGGGUAUGGCUGUUCGCCAUUUAAAGUGGUACGCGAGCUGGGUUUAGAACGUCGUGAGACAGUUCGGUCCCUAUCUGCCGUGGGCGCUGGAGAACUGAGGGGGGCUGCUCCUAGUACGAGAGGACCGGAGUGGACGCAUCACUGGUGUUCGGGUUGUCAUGCCAAUGGCACUGCCCGGUAGCUAAAUGCGGAAGAGAUAAGUGCUGAAAGCAUCUAAGCACGAAACUUGCCCCGAG
rnacentral:rRNA from 1 species